CCGGCGACCGGCAAACGGGUGCGGAACACGUACGCAACUUACCCUGAACUGGGGGAUAGCCCGGGGAAACCCGGAUUAAUACCUCGUAACAUAGUGUGGUGGCAUCACCAUAUUAUUAUAGCUCCGGCGGUUCGGGAUGGGCGUGCGGCCCAUUAGGUAGUUGGCAGGGUAACGGCCUACCAAGCCUGCGAUGGGUAACUGGUGUGAGAGCACGACCAGUCACACGGGCACUGAGACACGGGCCCG
rnacentral:rRNA from 1 species